rnacentral:rRNA from 1 species
UACGAAGGGGGCUAGCGUUGUUCGGAAUCACUGGGCGUAAAGCGCAUGCAGGCGGAUUGUUAAGUCGGGGGUGAAAUCCCAGGGCUCAACCCUGGAACUGCCUUCGAUACUGGCAAUCUUGAGGCCGGGAGAGGUGAGUGGAACUGCGAGUGUAGAGGUGAAAUUCGUAGAUAUUCGCAAGAACACCAGUGGCGAAGGCGGCUCACUGGCCCGGUACUGACGCUGAGGUGCGAAAGCGUGGGGAGCAAACAGG